CCUGGGGUGGGGGAAGGUUCUUGAUCCCAGGGCCUGUGGUUUUGGCUGGGGGCAGUCUGGAAUUGGGGUGAUGGAAGUGGGUUCUGCUCACCCCUACUCUGCCUGUGGUGGGUGGAAGAAGCUGUAGGGAUAAUUAGGUUGCACCUGUGGCUCAGAGAGCUAGGAUGCUGGCCCAGUUUUAGCCUUCCAGGAACCUAUUCACUAGAAUUCCUUUCCACCUGCACUCAGGUACUUCCCUACUCUUGGUCUGGACUCCUCUUUGCAUCGGGUAAUUAUUUAUCACUGUAUCUGGUCCCCUCCAGGGCUGAGACUGACUCUCGAGGCUCCCAGCCCCUGCCAGUUGCAAGGCAUGGGGUGGGUGCUUGCAAGUGUAAGCCUCGGCAAACAAGGCCUGGCUUGUCCCCCCAGGUGUGUGUUGAGAAGCUGAUGCCGCUGAGCUCGUUUUGCAGUGCGUUCCACCAGGCCACGUACAACAAGCAGCCCAUGUACCGCAAAGCCAUCUACGAGGUCCUGCAGGUGGCCAGCAGCCGCGCGGGGAAGCUGUUCCCGGUGUGCCACGACAGCGAUGAGAGUGACACUGCCAAGGCCGUGGAGGUGCAGAACAAGCCCAUGAUUGAAU
rnacentral:lncRNA from 1 species